GUGUUUGAAUCAGCAGCACAUAUAUUAAAACUAAUACAAUACAGAGAAGAUUAGCAUGGCCCUCCCAUGAGGAAGAUGUAUAAAAGCUGACUCAUACACAAAGUGCUA
ensembl:snRNA U6 U6 spliceosomal RNA